CUGGUCUUAGCCGAAUGGUUACUACAGCAGAGUCAAAAUCUGUAUCUCUUAGAGUUGGUUCGAAACCGACUGACAAGA